UUCUGCUUCUCACAGUCAACUUGUUGCCAUGAAUGUCUUUGUUCAUAACACCUCUCCUUGGUCCAGGAGUGUUAUUGCUGCACCCAAAUGUAUGAACACGGCCAGGCCCUUGACUCGUCUCCCCGAGUUGUUUACAAAAGGACUGUACCAAUUUACACUUCCACUUACAAAGGAUAAGAGCGCCGCUAUUACAGUGUUUAAAGGCAGCGCUUUUCAGAGCUCGUAUACAAUCAUUGGCUAGGGCUGGCUUAUGUUUGUAACCAUCUCAGAAUAAAUAAAGACACAUUUUCCUCCAGCCCUGCAAACACGGCAUGCGCAGACGGCCAAACAACCGCAAACUAACUUUGAUUAGAAGAGAAACCGGUCUAUUUGAAAAUGUGGUAAUGAGAUAGUUUCCACCCCCCGGGAAGCCGUCCUGGCGGGGGAGGGGCGCUGCGUUCCUUCUGGCCUCUCUUCCCAUCCUCAAGAAGGUAGAAAUGAACAGCAUUUCCCCCCAAUCCCAGCAUCCUCUCUGAGGGCGUGGCCGGAGAGGGCACACUAUAUUCCGGAGACUUGGAGCUCAGCCAGUUCACUCUCGGGCCUCGCUUGGAGAGGAUGCCCAUCGGACUCCCGAAGGCCGGCGGUCUCCCAGCCCCCUGAGGAGCCACCCAGAUCCUGGUCUGGAUCUGUGUCUUCACCUGUGCAGUCCUCCUGGACUAGCCCAUUUAACAUCAUCCCCAC